ACACAUGCAAGUCGAGGGGCAGCAUGGUCUUAGCUUGCUAAGGCUGAUGGCGACCGGCGCACGGGUGAGUAACACGUAUCCAACCUGCCGUCUACUCUUGGCCAGCCUUCUGAAAGGAAGAUUAAUCCAGGAUGGGAUCAUGAGUUCACAUGUCCGCAUGAUUAAAGGUAUUUUCCGGUAGACGAUGGGGAUGCGUUCCAUUAGAUAGUAGGCGGGGUAACGGCCCACCUAGUCAACGAUGGAUAGGGGUUCUGAGAGGAAGGUCCCCCACAUUGGAACUGAGACACGGUCCAAACUCCUACGGGAGGCAGCAGUGAGGAAUAUUGGUCAAUGGGCGAUGGCCUGAACCAGCCAAGUAGCGUGAAGGAUGACUGCCCUAUGGGUUGUAAACUUCUUUUAUAAAGGAAUAAAGUCGGGUAUGCAUACCCGUUUGCAUGUACUUUAUGAAUAAGGAUCGGCUAACUCCGUGCCAGCAGCCGCGGUAAUACGGAGGAUCCGAGCGUUAUCCGGAUUUAUUGGGUUUAAAGGGAGCGUAGAUGGAUGUUUAAGUCAGUUGUGAAAGUUUGCGGCUCAACCGUAAAAUUGCAGUUGAUACUGGAUGUCUUGAGUGCAGUUGAGGCAGGCGGAAUUCGUGGUGUAGCGGUGAAAUGCUUAGAUAUCACGAAGAACUCCGAUUGCGAAGGCAGCCUGCUAAGCUGCAACUGACAUUGAGGCUCGAAAGUGUGGGUAUCAAACAGGAUUAGAUACCCUGGUAGUCCACACGGUAAACGAUGAAUACUCGCUGUUUGCGAUAUACGGCAAGCGGCCAAGCGAAAGCGUUAAGUAUUCCACCUGGGGAGUACGCCGGCAACGGUGAAACUCAAAGGAAUUGACGGGG
rnacentral:rRNA from 1 species